GACGAACGCUGGCGGCGUGCUUAACACAUGCAAGUCGAACGAAGAGCGAUGGAAGCUUGCUUCUAUCAAUCUUAGUGGCGAACGGGUGAGUAACGCGUAAUCAACCUGCCCUUCAGAGGGGGACAACAGUUGGAAACGACUGCUAAUACCGCAUACGAUCUAAUCUCGGCAUCGAGGAUAGAUGAACGGUGGCCUCUACAUGUAAGCUAUCACUGAAGGAGGGGAUUGCGUCUGCUUAGCUAGUUGGAGGGGUAAGGGCCCACCAAGGCGAUGAUCAGUAGCCGGUCGGAGGGGAUGAACGGCCACAUUGGGACGGAGACACGGCCCAGAAGACUACGGGGGGCAGCAGUGGGGAAGCUUCCGGAAGAGAGGAAAGACUGACGGAGCAACGCCGCGGGAGUGAUGACGGCCGUCGUGUUGUAAAGCUCCGUUAAUCGGGGCGAAAGGCCUUCUUGCGAAUAGGGAGAAGGAUUGACGGUACCGGAAUAGAAAGCCACGGCUAACUACGUG
rnacentral:rRNA from 1 species